rnacentral:miRNA from 1 species
UUUGUAUUACGUGCGGAAAUUGUUACCAUUUUUGAGCCGAAAAUGGUUACAAUUUCCGCACGUAAUACAAA